rnacentral:rRNA from 1 species
CUACGGGAGGCUCCAGUGAGGAAUAUUGCACAAUGGGGGAAACCCUGAUGCAGCAACGCCGCGUGGAGGAUGACGCAUUUCGGUGUGUAAACUCCUUUUAUCAGAGAAGAAAAUGACGGUAUCUGAUGAAUAAGCUCCGGCUAACUCCGUGCCAGCAGCCGCGGUAAUACGGAGGGAGCAAGCGUUAUUCGGAAUCACUGGGCGUAAAGGACGCGUAGGCGGGUUUUUAAGUCAGGUGUGAAAUCCUAUGGCUCAACCAUAGAACUGCACUUGAAACUGGGGACCUAGAGUAUGGAAGGGGCAGGUGGAAUUAGUGGUGUAGGGGUAAAGUCCGUAGAUAUCACUAGGAAUACCGAAAGCGAAGGCGACCUGCUGGGACAUUACUGACGCUGAGGCGUGAAAGCGUGGGGAGCAAACAGGAUUAGAUACCCCCGUAGUC